UACGAAGGGUGCAAGCGUUACUCGGAAUUACUGGGCGUAAAGCGUGCGUAGGCGGUUUGUUAAGUCCGUUGUGAAAGCCCUGGGCUCAACCUGGGAAUUGCAGUGGAUACUGGCGAGCUAGAGUGCGGUAGAGGAUGGUGGAAUUCCCGGUGUAGCGGUGAAAUGCGUAGAUAUCUGGAGGAACACCGGUGGCGAAGGCGGCAUCCUGGACCGGCAUUGACGCUGAGGAGCGAAAGCCAGGGGAGCAAACGGG
rnacentral:rRNA from 1 species